GGCUUUGUGAAGCAAUAGAAAGCAUGUUGGACUUUUAAGCUGUAGUGCUCAGUGUGAGCCAGGCCAGUCAUUUAAAGGUUGUGGGUUAAAAUCCCUCCAGAGUCA
rnacentral:tRNA from 1 species